rnacentral:lncRNA from 10 species
CCCAUUGCUUAGUGGAGAAGAAAAUUAACUAUGUCCAAGAGGGGAGAAAAGGUACAAAAACGAGCUGAGAGAGAAGGGAUUCAGAGUCACCCAGUAUGACAGAUGGCAUUCAGAGAUCCUGACUCCUGCCCUGGCCUCUCCCACUUCCCUCUACUACAGUUUAGAAUCCCUAGGGCACCCCUUUGCCUCCUGCAGCACUUUGAAGGCCUGAAGUUGCCCUUGGCAUAGACACUUGGGGUUCAGACUGUUGACAUGUAACAUGAGUGCAGAUCUUGUUCAGAUUGCCACAGCCUUUGCAGAUGUCCCUGAAGUCCCCUUCCCACUUCUUCCUUGCUUUUUGCCAAGGGUAGACCUCUUCCUUUUGGCUCCUCUGGCUGUUGGGAAAGUAAGGCUGGUCCUUUCUGUCUGGACCUCAUGCCCACAGCUAGAGGCCGCACCCAACCCCAACUAAGCAACACCUCUGGAGUCUGUCCCCAGAACCUCCCUGACUUGCCCCCACCACCCCAGGAUGCAUGGCCCCCAGGCAGCCAUUCACUCUGCUCACUCAGGGACUUGCUCUCUUUGUCCACAGUUUCUUUUUGACUUCCUAGGCUCUUCACACCUGCCUCCAUUGGAGUACCAGCUCAAGGGCUCCAUCCUGCAGCCACUAUGGAGGGGGGGAGGGGUGGGCAGAGCAUGAACUGUAACAUCAGCCCUGGGUUCACAUCCCAGCCCUCUGCUUUUUGCUAGUUGUGACCUGCUUUGAGCCUCAUUUCCCGAUGGACACAUUCAUUCACUUAUUCAGAAAAAGGAGAAGGAAGGAAGGAAGAGAGAGAGAGAGAGAGAGAGAGAGAAAAAGAAGGGAAAGAAGAAAGAGAGAGAGAAGGAAAGAAGAAAGAAAGAAAAAGAAAGAAAGAAAAAAAGAAAAAGAAAGAAAGAAAGAAAAAGAAAAAGAAAGAAAGGAAAAGAAAAGAGAAAAGAAAAGAAAAAAGAUCUUUAUGGAGCACCUACCAGGUACCACACCUACGGUGUGCUAGACAUCAGCAGCAGCAGCAGUGUAACAGUGCAAAGGACAAAAUCCCUGCCCUCAAGGGGCUCCCCUUCUGGUGAGGUGCUAGCCAUGUGAAUAAGCAGACUAGAAUGGGACAGAGGGUACAGGGUUGUGCCAUGCCCUGUGCUCUGAUGUGACUACUGGGCUCCUCAACAACUCCCACUGUCAAGCAUUAUAUUCCAAGAGCACAGUGAAGGGUUAGGGACUAGAGAAUUCUUACUUGCAAUAAAAAGUCAUUUUCCCUGCAAGGAUUUCAAUAAGAGAGAUUUUUGGGAAAAAAUAAUAGCUAUGGGUGUAUUUGGCCAUUGCAAAAGAUAAUCAGCUGCUCCAAAUGCAUAGAACAGCCUUAAGUACCACAGGACCUGCCUUCAACAGCAAAUACAGCCACAGUCAAGUUUGUGUGCCCUCGAGUUUAAUAUGGUGUGAUUGAUAAACUGCACAUAAUUUAAUAGUUUUUCAGGAAGAAAGAGAGAAUCAGCAACAUGGCAUUGAAGGUACCCGUUGACAGUGACGUGCAUCACAGCAUUAACAGGUGAGGAAAGCAUGCGGCUCUGAAAACCCUCUCCUUGCAGCCCAGCUCACGACCCACAAAGGCCUGCGGUGAGGCCAGUCACUCUGCUAGCACAGCCAGUUUGUCUGUCAGUCACAGGCAACAGUCUUCCUCCUGCCCCCUCCCUGCCCCCAUAGCCCGAGAAAUGCUUGUGUGUGCAAAUGGGAGACAAAGGAAAGGGACCACCACAUCCAUGGAGUGCACCGCGUGAGAGAAAUGCUCAGGAAGGGAAUUGACCAGAUUGGCUGUGGAGAGAAAAGAGAAGGAACAUGGGAGGCAGAGGUAUACCCAGGCUUCUGGCAGGUUACGGAGACCUGUACCCAGGAAAGAAACAACAGUCGGCAGGGGAGCUCCAGGUCUGGAUCCGCCUUGAGCAGGGAUCAUUGUGUGUGCCUGAAGCUCCGUUUUCCAUGGCCAGCUCUAUUAUGAGGGCUCAGGGGAGCUGGGUUAGGCUAGCCAUGUCCCAUUCCUGAAAGGCCAGCUCUGGGUCAGAAAUGUGACCUCUCUCUCCUAAAGCCCCAGAGACUGAGUGCUCCUUGUGCAUCUCCCUAAAUCCUGUUGUUUGUCCAGGCUCUAGCUGGGUCCCCCUUAGCAGCCCGCUCAGCAAGGCAGGCCUGGAGUCCCACCACUGGGGCUUCUCUCUCAGUUGGUUCCACCUCUCCUAGCUGAGCAACCAGGCUUUCACUGCUGAAUGUCUGAGCCAGCUCCAUCGUACAACAGGAGUGAGGGAAGUACCUGCUUCACAAGGUUGUCAUAGCCAUCAAAUGGGAUCACACUCUAAAGGCAGGUAGGGCAGUGCCUGCAUGGCACUUGGUGGAUGGUCAAUAAGACUUUAUCCUUCUUCCUUCAUCUUCCUCUUCCUCCUUCCUGUUUCCCCUCCUCUCCUUGGUAUUGUUGCUAUUUUGUAUUGGUUUCUGUGCCUACUGUAACAAAUUACCAUAAACUUCGUGGCUUAAAACAGUGACAACUUAUUCACUGAUGCAGAAAUGUAUUUAUUCAUUUAUUCUCCAACAGUUCUGGAGGCCAGAAAUCAGAAAUCAAGGUGUCAGCAGUUCCAAGCUCCCUGCGAAGGCUCUAGGGGAUAAUCCUUCCUUGCUUCUUCCAGCUUCUGGUGGAUCCAGGUGUUCCUUUGGCUUGUGGCCGUAUCACUCCAACCUCUGGCUCCAUCUUCACCCUUACCUACUUCCCUGUGUAUCUUGAAUCUCCUGCCACUCUCUUAUAAUGACACGUCAUUGGAUUUAGUGCCUAUUUGGAUAAUCUGGGAUGGUAUCUCAAGAUCCUUAAUUACAUCUGCAAAGACCUUUUGCCAAAUAAGGUCAUAUUCACAGGUGCCAGGUAGACAUAUCUUUGUGGGGCCACCAUUCAAUAUACUACAGUAUGAAUAUUAGGUUUUCUUGUCAACCCCAGAUUCUCAGGCCCAGCCACCUGCAUUUUCCCUGAG